GUAUAUAUAUAUAUAUAUAUAUAUACAUGUAUACAUCGUAUAUGUAUAUGUAUAUACGUAUAAUAUAUAAGUAUGGAAGAAAUUUCACUUUCAAAAGACAAAGAACCCACCAUCGGCGUCGCGUUUGAUCACACAUACGCUUCUUAGAAUUAUAAAGCAGGCAAAUUUGUUAUGACAGAUAUCUAGUCGUAGUCUCUCUAAUAUGUAAGUUUCACUUCCACGUUUAACGUAAAACUAUAAAUUUACAAGAGUACAAAAACGGCUGAAUAAUUUGAUGGAGACAAAACGAAAUAUUGUGUUGAAUCCUACAAAUAUUGCUGGUACGAUAUCAAUGUUGCGAAAUAAAACUUACAUUCCCUUGAACUUGAAGAUCAUUGCGUUGAAAGCUUCGGAAGAAUCGCUUGAACGGGCGAGUAUAUAGGCGAUGGCUCAUAUUCGAUAUCGACAGAUAAAAAAUUGCGUAUAUGAGGUGCCAGUUGAAUUCGUGAAACAUGAAUAUAGUAUUACGUAAAUUCAUGAGAUACAUUCGUAAAUUUUUUUUCUAUUCUGUUCACGCGUACCGACAAUUCCUAAUGUCUUUAACGGUGUUGGUUGACUAAAUAACGAGAAAAGCUAUUCCAUACAGAUAUACAAAUUUAUAACGAUAUUUGUCGUUCAUGAGCGAUGAUCAUUGUUCAACGUUAAACGUGUUAUCAAAGUGUAUCAAAGUUAAACGUGAGCCAUUUUAGAUAACGAAAACGAUGUACCGACGCAUUUUGAAAACAUUUUGAACCAGGAGUUCUAUGCUAAUCUGUAUAUACCUAUCGAUAAUUAUCAAUUUGGUACAUUAAUGAUAUUUAUCGUUUACACGAGCGACAAAAAUAAAUAUAAAUUAUUCUGAACGUCGUUGCAAAUGACAAGUCGUUAAUAUGACUUUAUCGAUAAUAUAUAUGCACAUUCAAAAGAUAGAAAAGAUAUUUUUCAGCCAAUAGCAUUAAAGAUUCAUAAGAAAAAUUCAAAAUUCGUACAUGUUGGUCCAGUGGCUGUUAUAUGUAGCGUAAAACAAGGAAGAAAAGAAUCUAAAUAUUAUGUAGCAAAUAAGAAUACGAAGA